UGCCACCUCACACCGGAAAUAUUCUGAAGGAAAGUUCAUUAGUUGGUCCUGUAUUGACUCCGAGCUAGUUAGACUGACCUUUGCGCUGAUGAUGCCAGUGGACUGGGCUGGAUAUGGCUAUGCAGCCCUCAUUGCUUCUGGAGGAGUCAUGGGUUAUGUCAAAGCAGGCAGUGUCCCUUCUUUGACAGCUGGACUGUUAUUUGGAGGUCUGGCUGGUUUUGGUGCCUACCAGAUAUCACAAAACCCCCAAAACAUUUGGGUGUCUUUAGCUACAUCAGGAACCUUGGCUGUUCUCAUGGGGAAAAGAUUUUACAACUCCCGGAAGAUAAUGCCUGCGGGUAUAGUGGCUGGAGCAAGUAUCCUGAUGUUGGCAAAGCUUGGUAUUGGAGUCCUGCAGAAGCCUCAAGAUUCAUGACUGGUGCUGCAAUGUCACUGAUAAAUCAUUUUUAAAUUUACAACCCCAUUUCCAAAAACGUUGGGAUGCAGUGUGGAAUGACACUGAAGGAGACCACAUCCAGAGAGACAUGCAGAAACCAACCAUAGGCAUUUACGUCAUCAAAAAAGAGGGUGGAGAAAAUGGACAUUAUGAUGACGUUGGAGGUGCAGCCCGAGCUUGUGCAUUGAUGCUUGGCGUAAUCUAUGCACUGAACUACUGUAGGCCUACCCCAAGGAGCUAUUACAAAUUAAUUCAAAAAGUACUCCAGUGAAUGGAUGGGGAAAAGGCUUUCUCCUAGAGUCCUUGGACUACAGAAUAAAAUCAGUGUUGAAGUGUAGGAAUUCUUCAGCCACACUUGUAAACACAGUUGUACUGUUUAUUGAUUGUGAUAUCAAAUGCAGCUUUAGGAGGUGCUGCAAUAUUAACCGUUUAUUGAAAUGUAUUAUUACAAGAAUGAUUAUAGUUACUACAUGACUACAGCUACAACUGGAAUGUACUGAUUCUGUUAGCAGUUGUAAUUAUUGUGCCAUCCACUAUCAGAUAAAAUUAAAAUAAAAUCUUACAAUAUCGUUUGAAAGCCUAGAGAAAGAUAUUUAGUUAUUUUACAAAUAACACUUCAGAUAUUGUUUUAACAAUAAUAAGCAUCACUGUAUAAAUGAUAGAGUGCAGAUAGCUGUGUCCUUGGGGUUGUUGAGACAUGGAGGGGUGGGAAUAAGAUCUAGCCCACAGUUCAAGUCAAAGCCGUUUUGAGAGUAAAUGCUUUGGCUUUAACAGCAUUCUGUUCCCAAAAGCUGAUGUCGGGAAAAAGUCUUUACACAAAGGUUUUCUUGCUCUGUAGUUUUUUUUAAACUGUUCUUCCGUGUCGGGACUUUUCGGGAAAAAGAAGGUAUAUUCCAACAUGUAGCUAACGCUAUGCCACAAAUCUGCACCGUCACUCCAGUCAUUUCGAGGAAUUUUGUACGGAUCAUAACCGCUAAUAAACUCUAAUUUCCAUGUA